CGGGUCCGGACACACUGAGGAUUGACAGACAGUAUUCAUGCCGAUUGAAUUUCGACAUAUUUCAAAUGUGCGAGUUCUUUCAUGAUUGUGUGAUAGGUGGUGCAUGGCCGUUCUUAGUUCGUGGAGUUAUCUGUCUGCUUAAUUGCGUUUCAUAUUUACGAAUGUCGCUUACGUGAUUGCUGCAGACCUCGCGUCUCUUUAUUGAGUUGCGACGCGUCUCUUCAACUCACUCGCACAUUCUCUUGAACGCAACGAGCGUGACCGCAACCUCUUGUUGUGUAUACCAAGUGUGUCGUUGCUUGCAACUCACACUCCAAUGCACGUAUUUUGGUCACAUUGUCUCGGUGCCGUCGCGCGCAGCCUCGGCUGUGUCGGCGUGCCAGCAAUGUCCAAAUAAACUUGAGGGACCGCUGUAACAAUUCUUUUAAACCAGAGGAAGGUUGCGGCAAUAACAGGUCUGUGAUGCCCUUAGAUGUCCCGGGCUGCACACGUGCUACAAUGAUCAGUACAGUGAGCAUCUUUGCAAUACCAGCGUUUGGAGGCCUGGCCAAGUCACUUGUGACUUCGGCUUGCAGUCUCUACGUUGCCUUCCCAAGUCUGACAAGAUUUGGAAAUCCAUUGGAAGUCCUGAAUCAAUCCCUAUUGAGCAUUUUUCUCUACAGUGGCGCCAGACUUCGUCCCAUGUCGGUUCGCCUGACUUGUGCGGCACUUGGCGUCUAC
rnacentral:rRNA from 1 species